rnacentral:misc_RNA from 1 species
GCACAUCCACAUCCACAUCCACACACCCUCCUCACUCCCUACAUCCUCUGCUGUCUCCCGGUCAAACGGCCAGACGCCUACGAUAAUAAAUGAAUCGGUAUCGCGUUCAACGAACUCCAUCCACCCAGCGGCGUUUAUCUUGUCUUUAUCUCCUCGCCUCUCAAAAAAUAGAAAAAAAUUAUCGAGAAAAAAAAAAGACGGCCGCACUACUGCCUACUCAUCGACAGCAACACCAACAGCGAAACGGAAGCCAUGCCCCCUAGCGUUCAGCGCAUCCCGAAGCCUCUUCGGGCGUCCGUAAGACUCUCUUCUUGAGAUGCUUGUCAUAUUCAACCACAGAGGUCGUCUGUACUCCUUGCAGACACCCAUAUCACAUAAACAUAGCCGUUGAUUUUCCUGCACCCAAGCAGCAACCAGGAACGCGUACAAGACGCUCAAGGAUGUGUUGGUGAGGGCGUGCCUCUUCCAGCACGUUUUUCGAUCUGGGAUUUUGAGAUGCGAACGUGAUGAUGUCUUCUUGCAGCAUGAAGGCGCGCGGCAAGACGAUGGCCGUGAGGGCCACAUUCACAUCUACUCUGCAUCUGAGAUGCAGGGAAUGGUUCGCAAGGCCUAUGCUGCAGCUGGCGGGAUGACGGAGGUGGGGAGGAAAAACUUCUGCGAGAUGCAGCAGAUCGUGAAGGGGUAGACGAUGUUCGCAGUUGAGUUGACGCAGUGCUCGACGGCGAUUACGAACGCUGCUCCGGAGGUGUGAGCGAAGGCGUAGGCCAAGAACGACCUCCAGAUUUUCCUGCCGCGCUGCGAGCAGACGGUAGAGAUCAGCUGUGAGGAAGGGGCCCACCGGUGCCGGUGACACUGGGACAACGGGGUACAGUGCCUUGCUCGACUUCCGAGAGCUGGGGUCGGCUGUAAAGAAGCUGGCCGAAAUAUUCGAAGGCAUCAAUUCGUGGCUGCCGCAGCUGAUACACGAGGUUGAGGAGACGCGUAAAGACAUUGAUGCGUCGAUCUUGUUGCUGCACACAUCGAUCCCCAUCUCUGCGCGGGAGGCUGCUAGUCAGUUCUCCGAGGAGGUUUCGGGGCUGCAACCCCCAGGGCCAGCUGGACACCGCGCUGUACCCGUUCUCUGGGAUGAAGGAGGCGAGCUGGAACACGACAGACUACUCGGUGGACAACUAGGAGAUGCAUGUGCUCGCCACGAUUCACAGGACGAUGCCCUCGUGGCACAAGAUGGGGUGCGAGCCGCGCGAGAAGCUUGUACAGCCCGUGCGUGUGGCGCGUUCCCCUGGGAUGCACGAGAAACCUCUCUCGGUUUGGUGGGGUGAUCAUUGGGCGCUCUGGCGAGUUUACAGAGUUCAUAACGCCGCUCCUGCAGAGGUGCCUUGGUGACCAGCCCGCGUUCACGCUUGAGAACGUGAGGAGGCUGAACCAAGAGGCUGAAGUCCGUGGUCAUCCGCACUGCCGCCGACAAGGUGCGCUACCUGAUAACCGUAAUCAUGCGUCUCGACAUCGAGCGCGCGCUGAUCGAAGGCGAGUUAGAGCCGAUGCAGGGGCUGAAGGUUUGGGCGGACAGGGUGGAGUACUUCGGCAUUGGCACAUGCGGCCACGAUGAUUUGGGGUGCAUGCAGAAUGUGCAGUGGCCGAGUUAUGGAUAGGGCGGGUUCCCCUUGCUCACGAUCUGGUCGAUCUUUUCCACGCAGCUGAUGGCAACUAUCGCGAAGGGGAUCGGAGACAACACGGUCAACACGUGUAUCCUCGACGGUGACAUGACGCCACCCCUGGAGCAGCAGCGCAAGAAGGUGUGGAGCAAGGGAUGCAUGUCUCCGACGAUAAUGGACGUUGUUGUCAAGGCGAUCGGCAAUUUGUUGACGAGGACUUGCCUCUGUGCGCACCUGGAGCGCCACCACCUCCGAAACAAGCACUCAGCGGGCAUGCGUGCUUGACAGUCGCGCGUGACGACGGCUUUCCCCUCUCUUUCCUUCUCUCCAUCGAUGCGUUCAUUGGCGGCGCUCUCUGUCUUUUUCUUCGCGUCUUCUCAUGCUCACACAAGCACACGCACUGCUUGCACCGGGUGGGCAUUACGGUCUCCUCCUCCACCGCCCCCACUCUUUGCUUGAUCAG